rnacentral:rRNA from 1 species
CUCAGGACGAACGCUGGCGGCGUGCGUAAUACAUGCAAGUUGAGCGCUGAAGGUUGGUACUUGUACCAACUGGAUGAGCAGCGAACGGGUGAGUAACGCGUGGGGAAUCUGCCUUUGAGCGGGGGACAACAUUUGGAAACGAAUGCUAAUACCGCAUAAAAACUUUAAACACAAGUUUUAAGUUUGAAAGAUGCAAUUGCAUCACUCAAAGAUGAUCCCGCGUUGUAUUAGCUAGUUGGUGAGGUAAAGGCUCACCAAGGCGAUGAUACAUAGCCGACCUGAGAGGGUGAUCGGCCACAUUGGGACUGAGACACGGCCCAAACUCCUACGGGAGGCAGCAGUAGGGAAUCUUCGGCAAUGGACGAAAGUCUGACCGAGCAACGCCGCGUGAGUGAAGAAGGUUUUCGGAUCGUAAAACUCUGUUGGUAGAGAAGAACGUUGGUGAGAGUGGAAAGCUCAUCAAGUGACGGUAACUACCCAGAAAGGGACGGCUAACUACGUGCCAGCAGCCGCGGUAAUACGUAGGUCCCGAGCGUUGUCCGGAUUUAUUGGGCGUAAAGCGAGCGCAGGUGGUUUAUUAAGUCUGGUGUAAAAGGCAGUGGCUCAACCAUUGUAUGCAUUGGAAACUGGUAGACUUGAGUGCAGGAGAGGAGAGUGGAAUUCCAUGUGUAGCGGUGAAAUGCGUAGAUAUAUGGAGGAACACCGGUGGCGAAAGCGGCUCUCUGGCCUGUAACUGACACUGAGGCUCGAAAGCGUGGGGAGCAAACAGGAUUAGAUACCCUG